AACGCUUAGUCUCUGAAUAUAUAUAAUUUUUAUAGUAACAAACAAGCCCAUUUAAAUUGAAAAGGAGCCCCAUUGAAACCAGAGAUUCGGAGACUAAUAACAUCUGCAUUAGGGCUACACAUGUUGGAAAGUUAGAUAUUUUUACUUU